GCGCUUCUCCGCACCGGGAUCCCCAGUCCCUCAGGUUCCGACAGACCCUCCUGUCAGGCCCAUUCUCCGGGCCCCCUCAGUUGCAGUGUUAAGAUCAACAGUGUUAAGAUUAAAGCCUUGUGAUGUGCUAGCCACUACGCUGAGGAUAUGCCGUGUACUAAAAUUCCUCAGGACUCCUCACAGCUGCCCUGUAAGGAAGCGGCCAUGGCCGGGUUCUAGCGAUGCGAGGCCGAGGCUCGGGGCGCUGAGUAGCCUAGCGCGUCGCCGAGGAGAGCUGGCACGUGAACCCCUUGUCGUUUGCCGUCAGAGGUGUUAUGUGGUGGCCCUCAUUCUCCAUGCAUGGAGCAGACUCUAGGAUCUGCAGUUACUGUAUGAUGAGCCCUUCUGAGUAUUUUGCUUGGUAAGUGCACACAUGUCAUGUCCCUGAUUACAGCAAUGUGAUGUUGGACAUUUUAUCACCAAGAAAAGUGGGCGCGAUUGUCUGGCUCCAAUCCAAAUGCUGGCGUUUGCCAACUAACAAUAGUUUCAACUGAAAUUCAUUUAACAGGGAAGAGAAGGAAUGGCUUUGAUGAGAUUCCAAGUACAGCACAAACAUCAGGCUGACCUGCAGGUUGGGCAAGGCAGGGUCAGAAACAGCAGCGGAGCCUUGCUGGGACUCCCACUAUCAUCUAAACAACAACAUAGCAGCAGGACCUUUCACAGAGAGUUCCCAACCAUGUGAGAACCGUAAGAGCCUGUAGGGUCACACAGUCCUACCUCCUCAUGGGGCAGCUGAGGAAGGGGAAGCCAGGGAAGCUAGGGGUUGCCCAGGGAUGUGGGGGGUAUUUUGUAGUCAAAACUCUAAGACAGCAGUGGGGGUCAGGCCCCGAGUGUUGACACAUUCAUGGAGCAACAGCCACGUGUCCAGCACAGGGCUAGGCACUAAAGAUAUGUCAAACUUAAAUAAUGAGAUUUAGAAAACAUUAGUAAGUAUAUAGUUUAUUUGAGCACACAGCUUGAGAACAGCCACCCAGGGAAACAGACUCCAAAUGAAUGGGAUCAGCAUUCCAAAGUGGAGAAGUUAAAGUUUCACUCAUGUAGGCAGAGACAAAGAAGUUUCAGCUGGAUUAUGACAUUUUCCAUACGAGGCUAGUGCAUACAUCAUAGCUAUUUGAUUGAUUACAGAUUGCUACACUCCAAGGAAGAUUACUUUAUUAUUUCAUGAGGAGGGAUUAUGGUCUGAGGGGGGUUCUUAUCUCUGGCGCCAUUUGGUCUUCAUAAUUAUUUACAGGAAAAAAGGGCGGAAGUUGCAGCUGCAUGCCACAUGACUCAGGCCACAUGGCCACAUUCCUCUCAAGGCUCAGAAUAAUCUAAAGUUCCAACGGCUUUAAGUUUGAAUUAUUAAUUGCACAGAUACAAAGAGGAGCAAGACCAAGAAGAGAGAGAGAGCUGUAAAGAAAUAGCCAUAAACAAAUAACAAAUGAAAGAAUGUGACCAAGUUUUCCAACAAAGGUGUGAACACAGUGCUAUGGGAACCAAGAGGCCAGCUGGCUCUAACUUUGUUUUUAAAUCUAAAUCAGAGGCAGACUGAUAAUUGCCAUUUUUUACUACAAAUUGAGGAUACCGUGUUAUAAUCAGUGCUUCGGGCUGAGACGGAAUGAUAGUUAAUGCUCCCAAACCUGUAGUGGCCUUGUUUUCUUUAUAUCUCUAAGCCUGAGUCACUGUAUAGACCAGAAUAAAAACGUGGUGAUGUUAUACCCCAUACUGGGAACCUGACAAUUCGUGGAUAAUAGAGCCUGGUGCCUGGCACAAAAUAGGUGCUCAAGUAUUUUAAUUAAUAUCUCUACAAAUAGAUACAUUAACACUGCUCAGGCUUGGAAAAUAAUUUAAGCUCAUAAAAAGAAAACAUUGGUAAUAGGACUGGUGAUACAGAAAUUCGUAGCAUUUCAACUUAAGUUAGAUAUAAAUACUGUCUGCCCAGGUGGCAUGCAGUCCUCUUUCUUUACCUUUCAAAAUCAUCUCAGAAAAUUUCCUUGUGCAUAUGUCUCAUAUUCCAGUUACUGUUGCUACAUAACAAAUUACCCCAAAACUCAGUGGGCUACAACAACAACAACAAUCAUUUUCAUUCUCUCAUGGGUUUUGUGGGUCAGGAAUUCAGGAAGGGCUUGGCUGGGUGGGUUUCUUCUCAGCAUCUCUCAUGCAGGUGCUGGUGGACAGAGGCUGGAGCUGGAAGGGGGAGGGCAAGUGUGCAGUUGCAGCAGCUGGGGAUAGGCUGGGCAUUCUUCUUGCUUCAUGUAGUCUUGGGUCCUCUCAGGUGGUGGCUUGAAUCAUCUCCUUGGGCUUCCUCCCAAUAUGGUGGCUUCAGGGCGGUUUUUCUGCUUAUAUGGCAGCUCAGGACUCAUGGAUGUCCCAGAAGAACCAGUUAGGAGCUUUUUUUUUUUUUUUUUUUUUUUUUAAGAUGGAGUCUCACUCUAUCGCCCAGGCUGGAGUGCAGUGGCACGAUCUUGGCUCACUGCAACCUCUGCUUCCUGGGUUCAAGCCAUUCUCCUGUCUCAGCCCCCUGAGUACCUGGGAUUACAGGAAUGCACCACCACGCCCGGCUAAUUUUUGUAUUUUUAGCAGAGAUGAGGUUUCAUCAUGUUGCCCAGCUGGUCUUGAACCCCUGACCUCAGGCGAUCUGCCCCCUUUGGCCUCCCAAAGUGCUGGGAUUACAGGUGUGAACCACUGUGCCCAGCCUGAGCUGUGUUACCUUUUAUGACCUAACAUUGGAAGUCAUAUAGUACCAUUUCUGUUUUACCAACCUCACCCAGAUGAAAGGAGUGUCAUUGUUAGAAGAGUAUGUGGAAUGGAAUUUAUUGUCAUGGCCAACUUUAGAAAAUACAAUCUAUCACAUCCCACAAAACCCGAAAUUCUUGUAAUGGUUCCUUUUUAUUUGUUUUUGUUUUCAUUAACUCAGCUCAGAGAUAACUUAAAACUUGCCUUUGCAGUUGCCUGCUCUGGGUCUGGUCUGCCAGAUAAGAUGGCAAUAAUGAAUCAGUGUGUCUCAAAAACUAUUUUGUAGAACAUAGUUUCAAGAGACCUGAUUAGAUGUUGCUUGAAAAAAGUUAGAAAAAAGAGGGAUUGAAUAGGUUUCUUUUUAAUAGAACUUUUCAGAGCUCUUAAUUUACUAAUGAACCUUUUAUUAUAGAUCAUCUGUGGAGCACUUGCAGGACUAGAGUUCCAGCAACACUGGCCACUAAUUAUUUUUGGAUGCUUUGCUGGAUUCAACUAUAAUCUAACAAUAAGUUUCUUUAUGUUUCAGGGUGGACAGUUUAUGUGUCAGGUAUGUGUAUUUAUAAUUAAAAUCAAAUAUUAUUACAUAGGCUUUGCACCUGGCGAGGUAACAUUGAGAGUAGUUAAUCUCUAGACUGGAAUCCAUCUGGAAGACCACUCAAUAACUUGUGAUUAGCUGGACCUGGUGAUGCAAGCCUGGAGUCCCAGUUACCCGGAGGCUGAGGUGGGAAUAUCGCUUGAGACCAGGAGUUUGAGGCUACAGUGAGCUGUGAUUGUACCACUGCACUCCAGCCUGGGUGACAGUGCAAGACCUCAUCUCUUAAAAAAAACAAACAACUCAAAAAACCUCAUCAUUGAGCACCUAUGAUGUGCCAGCAACUGUACUCAGUGGUGGGGACUUGACGACAAACAAACCAGGGAUGGGAUCCUUGAGCAGUCACCAUCUGACAAGUGACUGGGAAAGAUGAAUAAUGCCCUUCACCAAGAUUCUUCUCUGAUCCACAAAUUCAAUUACCAAUUUAUUUGUUCACUGCUCUUAAACUUAAAUAUUUUUUAGUAGGUAAUAAAGACAUGUUUAAACACUCUUAACUUUUAACAAUUUCUUUGUAAGUACUGUAAUAGUCUUCUUUUCCUUUAAAAAGAAAAAAUACAAAAAGAAGGAAAAGGAAAAUCUAUUCAAAAUAAAGUAUUCCAGAUAUCUGACAUUGCUGCAUUGCUGUAUCAUUCAUUAACAUUCACAAAAAAUAAAAUGAGUGCCUUCCGUGUGUGUGCAGGCAUUGUUCUAGGCAAAGAAGAUUUAGCAUUCAACCAAAACUUCUGUUCUCAUGGAACCUACCUACUCGCAGAUCCAAGCCAUGGUAGUUUGUUCAAGAACCUUCAGCUCUUUUCUGCUUUGUUGUCAAAGGCUUCUAAAAUUGGAUCCCCUCCUCCUUAGUUCUUCCUGAUCCCUGACAGGGAUCCUGUGCUUCAGUCAGCCUCCAAUCCCAACCACCACCACCAACAAAAUCACAAGAAGACACCUAGGCUAUUAUUCUUAACCUGUUUCCCAGUUUCUAUUUGUUAACCCCCUCUGGAUUAGGCAUUGUUGUCUUUGAUCUUGACAUGUGCCUCUAUGUGGAGAGUGUAUUUUUGCUCACCAAAUUUUUACUCAUUAAACUUUACUGGUGCUAUGCUUGCUAACUUAUUUCAGAUAAUUAGAGCUUUUGGAUGCUUUCUCCAGGACAAACUGUUCCUUUCCCCAUCCUCAGCCUUCCAUGCUGUUAAUGUACAAAAUCAGAUGAUUUAAACAUAAAUCAUCUUGAACUCUAGAAUGACCUGGUCCCCUUAGCGAAAAACUGUGGGAUUCAACACUACUCCUCAGUGAUGAUGGUAAGGCUACGUGGGCAGUUGUUUAACCAUUAUCCCCAGGUGCCCUCACCCACAGCCAGCCUGCUCAAAGGACUAUUUCCCAUUCCAAUAAUAAUGACAGAGCUAGGAGGGAGGCCAUGACUAAUAAAGACAUAUAAGAUGUUAUUGCAAAUUCUUUUUUCUAUCCAUAUGAAUUAUAAACUAAAAAAUAUUGACAAAUAUCAGCAAUUACAUCGAAAGAAGAAGGUGGUUGUCAAAAAUAAAAACCAUUGUUAUGUUUUAUAAAUGUUAUUGAAGUCCACAGGAAAUACAUUAAUUUGGUGGGUGUAAAAUUGGAAGAAUUUUGAAAAAUGUAUGCAGUGGUGUAACCACAAACACAAUCAGGAUAUUUCCAUCCCUCCAGAGUUGCCUUAUGUUCCUCCUCCCAAUCUGUUUCCUGUCAACUAAUUAUCUGCUGUCUGUCACUGUAAUAUUGCCUGUUCUAGGAAAUUAGAUGAGUGGAAUUUUCUAUUAUGUGGUCUUUUGAGUCUGACUUCUUUC
rnacentral:lncRNA from 1 species